UUCGCCAUUUCUUUUUUAAUUAUAAGACACCUUGGACUUAGUCAUUUCGAGUUACGGCACUUUGAGGUUCUCCGGAGCUUAGGAAUGUUUCCUUCAUCGAAGGUCAAAGUGAAAAUUUCAUGGUGUGAUUCGGAUUGUUGUUGAUAGUGUGUAUUGCAAGGAUAACUAAAAAUCUACUUUAUCGCAAUUUUUAAAUUGUGAAUUAUCUCAUUGUUGGUUUCCAAGGAGGAUAUGUGAAAAUUAAAUUGAGACAAGGAUAACUAAACAUUACAUCCAGAUCUACGAUAAUAUUAAUAUCCGCGCCUAACUAUAGAGGAAAGUUAAUAAAAAGUAAUCAAAAUGAAAAUAUUUUCGAUUUCUUAGCUAGAUAAUGUUACAAUCUGAACAAAGUCUAAAUUAAUCCAACUUGGGUAACUUUCCCCUACUCUCUCCAACAUAUUGUUUUCCAAAUUUCGUUAAACAGUGAUUUACGUAAAGAAAGUUCAUUGUUUGAUGCAAAUGGUAAUCGAUGACGCGGAAAAUACUACCAAAUAUUUAUUGUUAUUAAGUCCAGUGUGUGGAUAUUGAAAAAUAGAAAGAAAAAAAGAAAGGUAUGGGUAAAAGGAUUUCGCAAAACGCGAACGUAACAACGAGGAUGCGAUGAAUUUAAUAAUUUACCAAUUGAAAGUGCAAUUACUCACCGUGCUCGGCGAUAAUUUCAAGUGACUGAAGGGCCCGCGAGACACAGACUACCUCAAGGGUUAAUUCCACCGAUAACGUUGCGGAGAUUUCCAGCCGAUCGAUCAUCCACUGGUUACGCUGAUGCAACUACCUGUAAAACCACCAAAAAUUAACGCGAAGCGAUACUUGCCGCACCUAUUCCUCCAAAUGCACACGAUCUCGUGUUCGUGGCCGUCUCGCAAUCUCUAUACUCAUCGAUGAACGCAGAAUUGCAGUAAAAAUGGAAGAAAAUUGCGUCCUUGUUUGCCAAUUAUGCUUCCAAUAACGAAUACAAGUAAAUUUAUAGGAAAUCUUAUUAAUACAAAUACAAUACAAAUUUCACGUGUUAAUUGUUUGACUGGUAAGUUUAUAAAAUCUCAACUAAAUUCAGUCUGCAAAGUCCUCUUUUCGUUCGUCGUGUUCAUUUUGUUUUCCGACUUAUUUGAUGGUUCAAUACUAAAAUUAAAUUUUCAAUAGUCGAUAAAUUCACAAAAUCUACAAAAUAGGUUUCAUCUUCUGUUAGUAUUUUACAUAACUAUCGUUGGUAAUUUGUCAAGUAAAGACCUUUGCUUGCCUUCGUUGCAACAAAUACAUUAACAAGAAUAGUUGGUUACUAAUCCCCCAAGGUGUCCCCACAAAAUUAAUUUAUCUAAAUUCUUGCACUUAGCUACUUUAAUUGUUAACGCUUAGAAUCUACAAACAUUUUAUGUAUUUUCAUAGAUUUCAAAAAUAUUGGUACCUAAAGAUAAGCGAACAAAGUCGAAAACAGAAUGAACGAGGAACGUAGAUAAAACGAACGAUGAAGACGCCUGACAGGCAAAAUUAAGUUAUGAGACAUAAAUUUCAUCGCGUUAAAAGUUUCUAUUAAUAGCUACUCGCCCUUCUCGCGUAGUCAUGGCAUCUAUCAAUAUCGGGUAAUAUAUUCAUCCAAUUGUUAUUUCAUAGAAUAACUUUUGCUUUCGUUCGUAAAUACAUUAUAAUUCGCAUUUAUUAUUCGGCGUAACGAACGCUGAGUAACAUCGAUCGAUAUUUCGGAACAGCUACUCUUGGUAUGGUGGAAAAAGAGGAUAAACAUGUGAUGGGUACACACGAAAUGCAUAUACAGCGGUCACACGAUAAAUUCAGUGCUUCCGUCAGUUACUACAGCAACCAUAUUCUUCAUUUUAUGCAAACACACAUUCGACAAUACGCAUGGAGAUUGUUAUAGACGUGGUGAAAAGUAUGAUGAAUUACUUUACACCGUACAUAUUAUUCUCUACAUAUUAUACUCACCGUACAUAUUAUACUCUAUAUAAAUAUAAUGAUACGUAAAUUUACAAAAUGUGUCAUUUGUGACGUUGAUACACCAUUUACACUAGAUAGAUCAAUGAUGUAACAUCACUAAUGAUUUGUCAAGUCUAAAUUAAAUACAUUACGUUAAAACAAACAAAUGAACUAUCGUAUAGUAUAUAAAUAUAUUCUUUAAGCUACUUGUAAUAGAAACAAUGCUUUCAAAGUAAAUAUAAGAAAGCAAACUUUAUUUUGCUCAAGAAUAUAACUAUAUUGUUUGUCCGUGAAAUUAUUUUCCCAAAUAUAAUAUUUGUCAUUCAUUCUAUCUUUCAUUCUUCCUCAGAAAAGUGUGUUCACUGCAAGGCACUCAUAAUUAUGGAUUGAACCACACACUCCUCCAUUAGUCCUACCCUGAAUUCGCUACUGCUCAUCGGCUUCCGGCCAUGGUGACUUUGUCCAACCUGUAAAUAUGAGAUAUUCGUCGUGACAUCAAAAAAAUUACGAAACCAACGUGAAAACAGAUGCCGAAAAUGAAAGAAAGAUUCUUCCACGCUACCUAAAAUCCCUUCCAAAAUCGCGCAAUCAAUGAUAUCAACCCAGACUGAUUUAGCAACGACCUAACCUCGAACCGCGGUGCCUAUUCGCGCGCGCCAUCAUCCAGCAAUGGCGCUGCUUCCGCGACACGACAAGGAUCUCUUCGAUCGUUGCCCCGGCGUCGAAAAUUACACGUUUCGUACGUCGUCGCCGCAUAGACGCUUUCGCGUAUUAUUGGACGAGCAUCCUGUGUUCGAGGAUGCUUUAAAAAUCGCCUUUCAUAAUCACGUCACAGAAACAUUAAUCACCGGCGUAGAGCUCGCUCUGUAUUAUCGAACAACAUCGUCCCUGAAGUUUCUCGUAAUGGCGGCCGUUCUCGCCGCACGGGGCCCAUAGGCGCGUAAAUAUCAGCACGAAUGAGCACCGACAAGCAAAGGAAAAGACCGGCUCUAGCUGCGCUCGUCUCGAGGCACCGGCGCUAGAGGGACAGAGACGGCGAAACUUAGUGACAAAGAACGAAAAAGAGGAAGAGGGGGCUAGCAAAUAGAAAAAGAGAGGAACCGAGGGGCCGUCAUAAUUCCUUGAAUUGAACGGCUGGUUAUUCUCCACCAAGGUUACCGACGCAGAGGAUGAACGAAGCGGGCAGGCCAGGCAAAGCAGGCUAGCAACCUAGCGGGCAGACUACCAUGCAAGCAAGUAAGCAAACGAGCGAGGCAGGCAAGGCGGUCGGGCAGGCCAGGCAAGCAGACAGGCAAGCUGGCUGCCAGCGAGACGCGGAGAGGAGAGGAGAAAAUCAAAAGAGAGGGGAUACAUGACGAGUAGGACGAGUAGGACGAGUAGAGGUUAGGUGCGAGCGACGGGAGGAAGGGAGGGGAAUCGAUAGAACGACAAGGACGGGGCGCGCGGAGUAUAUGCCGCAGCACGGCAGCAUCAGGCGUCGUCGGCGGUACAUGGACUGCGGAGCUCGGAGGGGGGAACGUCAGGCUGGCAAGCUCAUGGGAGAGAGAAGUGAACGGCGGACGAGAGCUCACGGGGCGACAAGGAAGGGGAUUGGUCGAAGCGGUGGUGCGACUGGGGGGAAUGAAGGAGGGCAACACGAUCGGGUCGCUAAAUUUGCAAGAGAAGGAAGGAUGGAGCGAGAAGAGUGGGGAGACAGAGCGAGAGAGAUAGAGAUGGAAACGUUGACGUCGAGGAUCGAGGUGAGCGAAACAGAGCGAAGAGGGGAGCGGACGGGCGGUGGGUCGACAGCACGAGAGAGGGAUGAAGGGGUAAAGGGAGGUAGAGCCGACUUUAUGCAGCUGCGGGACGAUAACAACGAUGGGCUACAGGACCGCCGCUAUAGCUGGGGAAAUGCCAAAUGGGCUACAGGACUGCGCCGGUCUAGCUGUACGUUCGCUCGCUCGUAGUGGCAUGGCGGACGGGCGGCAGAGAGAAGCAGGCAGGAAAGGCGGGAAGGAGAGAGGGAUUUCAAGCGGUCGUCUCUUCUCGUCUGCCUCUACGCUCUACCUAUGUAUAUAUCCACCUACCUACCCGUCC